UGAGUUUGAUUAUGGCUCAGGAUGAACGCUGGCGGCGUGCUUAACACAUGCAAGUCGAACGAACCUUCGGGUUAGUGGCGGACGGGUGAGUAACGCGUGAGAAUCUGCCCUCAGGAGGGGGAUAACGGUUGGAAACGACCGCUAAUACCCCAUAUGCCUACUGGUGAAAUGAAUUUCGCCUGAGGAUGAGCUCGCGUCUGAUUAGCUAGUUGGUGAGGUAAUGGCUCACCAAGGCUUCGAUCAGUAGCUGGUCUGAGAGGAUGAUCAGCCACACUGGGACUGAGACACGGCCCAGACUCCUACGGGAGGCAGCAGUGGGGAAUUUUCCGCAAUGGGCGAAAGCCUGACGGAGCAACGCCGCGUGAGGGACGAAGGCCUCUGGGCUGUAAACCUCUUUUCUCAAGGAAGAAGAUAUGACGGUACUUGAGGAAUAAGCCACGGCUAAUUCCGUGCCAGCAGCCGCGGUAAUACGGGAGUGGCAAGCGUUAUCCGGAAUUAUUGGGCGUAAAGCGUCCGCAGGCGGCUUUUCAAGUCUGCUGUUAAAGCGUGGAGCUUAACUCCAUCAUGGCAGUGGAAACUGAAAGGCUUGAGUAUGGUAGGGGCAG
rnacentral:rRNA from 1 species